GCCGGAGUGGCGAAAUGGCAGACGCAGCGGACUCAAAAUCCGCCGGGGCAACCCGUGGGAGUUCGAAUCUCCCCUUCGGCACCA
rnacentral:tRNA from 1 species